UGUGUUCUUUUUUCCAUUUCCAGGAGUGUAUCUUUUAUCCCCAUUUAUUAUGUAUUCCCACAAUGGACUGGGCUAUGAAAUAACAAUAAAGGAGACAAAAUCUCAAUAACAUAACACAGGACACAAAUGGUUUUUUAUGGUGAUAACAAUGGCUGUGCAACACUGGGUGUAAGAUAUGCUAAUCCACCUCUUCUGUUGGUAUCAUCUUGGUCUGGAGUCAAAUAUUUCUGGAUAUCAGUCAAAUUACAAGCAGGGUAUCUCAUUAUGAUUGUUGUCGUGAGAAGCGCAAAAUCUUUUCAACUGUCUAUUUCUACAACAUAAGAAAAAUUUAUGUUAAUUUGUAGAGCAAAAAAAAAAAUACAUACGACUGAUAAUAUCGUAACAUACCAUGCACAUUAUGUGUCUGAAUAAUACACUAUGACUCCUUACCCAUAUAUCACGUAUAUAGCCCUACUAAUUUUCUUACAUAACAGCUCUAAAUUAAGUUCAAGAAAAGAAAACGUUGCUUACGUUAGUACUGUAUAUAAAGAGCUAUAAAACACAGAGAAAAUAAAAAAAAGUCUGUAGGUCUACUAUUGCCAUUAUAUUUGCAUUUCCAUGCCUUUAUAAUCUCAUUUCCUGUAACGAUGGCAGUCAGUAACACACAGAACUUUGUUCCAGUUAUAGCUCCAGAAGUCAGUCACCAGCAGCAGAUGUCACAUGGUUAUAAAAUGGGAAACUUGAAGAAUAAGCUACUAGUGGUUUGGAUACACACUUGGCAAAUUUCACCUUUCACUUAAAAUCUCCAGAAGUCAGUCGGAGCAGCAGCAGCAGACGUCACACAGCCAUAAUGCGAGAAGCUUGAAGAAUAAUGUGGUAGUGGUUUGGAUACAUAUGACAUAUUUCACCUUCAGUUUAGAAUUGAAGUUUGUUUAUAUUGGCAGGUGGUAACUCGGAGCUCUUUGUUCCAGUUAUGGCUCCGAUAGUCUUCCAGCAGCAGCAAAUGUUACACAGUCCUAUAGAGGCAAACUUGAAGUAUGAGGUAAUAGCGUUUUGCAUACAAUAGCAAACUUGACCUUUCACUCAAAAUGGAGGUACAUUUGCAGUGAGUUUAAUGUUAUGACACAUAAAUGGAUUACCAGUGAUGUAUAGGUAAAUUUCAACUUAAUUUCAGUAUCGGCUCUGAAAUUUGGUCACUGGAUACAGCUAUAUUAUUUUUCAUGUUGAUAGCAGCAAUCAUCAGAUUGCAAUCCAGUUAAGUACCUGUGAGGCAUGAGAUGUCAAAAAUACUUGUGGGUUAUUGGUAGCCUGUGUCAAGGCAUGUGGCACCUCAAAGUUGUAAGUACAGUAGCAUUUUGUUUUCUGCUUUACUUAAAAAUUGUUAGCUGUAGCGCCCAUUCUGACAUUCAAUUAUUUUGAAUUUCAAGUUUCUUAAAAUGAUACUGACAUCAGUUUCAUGUGUGUUAACACUAAUCCGUAUAUUAUUGUUAAUAUAUGCUGCUAUUUUCCUCAGAUGUUAACUGAAAUUGUUUUAUUGUAAUGAUAACAACACUUCAGCCUAUGCAAACUUGCAGUAUAGGCUACCUGCUGAGAAAUAUUUACUGGAAGAAAUGGUUUCUUGAAUAGGACAAAAAGGAAUACCACUGAAAAUGCCAAACGUGAAUUGGUGAAACAUCUUGUGCUGAAUAAUAAAUUUCAUUUGCAAAACAUGGAAGUUUUCCUAUCUUUGUGGUGGAACACAACAAAUUCUCAUAAUUUUGCUAGUUUGUAUUCUAGAAAGGGUGCCAGAAAUGGAAGAGUAUAAUUUUUUUAAAUCGGGCAUUAAAUGUAAGGUUGGACUACAGAAAGGGUGCGACUGGCCUUCCCCACUGAGGUGCUCCAACAUGCAUUUGUACUGAUGUGCAGGUGGUUAUAACACUAGUAUCAAACUGCACAGUACCCACUUACUAAUGUGACCUACCCUUGCAUGAUCUGCUGCAGACAGCAAGAAAUCUGCUACUGCUCUUACUACCUGUCCAACUGUUGCGGAGGAUUUUUUUCCCUUGGUGCUUGCCAUGACAUGUUUUGCCCUCUGCUCUUAAAAUCUCAAUUCUUGUUACAUUUUUCAUCCAUUUUUCUAUCUCCUGAUGGACCUGUAUUGAUUAAAAAACUAACCAAUGCAGAGGUGAUUGUAGAACUUUCGUUAUGGUCGCCAUGCUAGUGGCAGUGUGGAGGGACUCCACUCUUUAAAAAAUACAAUUACCUUGUGGGACAUGGAAUUAUUUAUUAUUAGAGGCUUUCAUGGACAUUUUGUUUACUGAAAAAGUCAGUCAUUAUCUGAGGUAUUUAAAUGUUAACUUCAAAUCUAAAACUGCAUCAAAAGAUAAAUUUCAGUAAGUCUUAAACAAGUUUCAGUAUCUUGCUUCACAUGCUCGACCCUCCAACUAUAAAAAACAGUGUUUUGCAGAGAACAGCUAUUCAGAUGUUAACAUCCCAGAAUUUGUGUA